rnacentral:rRNA from 1 species
CGUAAACGAUGAAUGCUAGGUGUUAGGGGUUUCGAUACCCUUGGKGCCGAAGUUAACACAUUAAGCAUUCCGCCUGGGGAGUACGGUCGCAAGACUGAAACUCAAAGGAAUUGACGGGGACCCGCACAAGCAGUGGAGUAUGUGGUUUAAUUCGAAGCAACGCGAAGAACCUUACCAGGUCUUGACWUCUGAAUGACCGYYCUAGAGAUAGGGCUUUCCUUCGGGACAUUCAAGACAGGUGGUGCAUGGUUGUCGUCAGCUCGUGUCGUGAGAUGUUGGGUUAAGUCCCGCAACSAGCGCAACCCUUAACUUUAGUUGCCAGCWUUCAGUUGGGCACUCUAGAGUGACUGCCGGUGACAAACCGGAGGAAGGUGGGGAUGACGUCAAAUCAUCAUGCCCCUUAUGACCUGGGCUACACACGUACUACAAUGGCUGGUACAACGGGAAGCGAAGCCGCGAGGUGGAGCCAAUCCUAAAAAGCCAGUCUCAGUUCGGAUUGCAGGCUGCAACUCGCCUGCAUGAAGUCGGAAUUGCUAGUAAUCGCGGAUCAKCAUGCCGCGGUGAAUACGUUCCCGGGUCUUGUACACACCGCCCG